UUUUGUACGGGAGAUAAGGGAUACCCUAAGAGUCUGAGCGAACCAUUACGUAUCCACCGGCUAACUACGUGCCGGCGGCUGGGGUUAUACGGAAUUGCCGGGCGUUAUCCGGAUUCAUUGGGUUUAAAGGGUGCGUAGGGGGAUCGUUAAGUCAGUGGUGAAAUCUCCCCCCUUAACUGAGAAACUGCCGUUGAUACUGAGGGUCUUGAAUCCGUGUAGGUAGGCGGAAUGUGUCAUGUAGCGGUGAAAUGCUUAGAUAUGACAUAGAACACCGAUUGCGAAGGCAGCUUACUACACUAAAACUGACGCUGAGGCACGAAAGCGAGGGGAUCAA
rnacentral:rRNA from 1 species